rnacentral:rRNA from 1 species
GAUACGUCUUCAGAGUUUUGAUCCUGGCUCAGGAUAAACGCUGACAGAAUGCUUAACACAUGCAAGUCGAUGAUGGGAAGCUAAGCCUAGCUUAGAAGAAGUCAUGGCGGACGGGUGAGUAACGUGUAAAGAACUUGCCCUCUAGACUGGGAUAACAGAUAGAAAUGUCUGAUAAUACCGGAUAUUAUUGUUACAUGGCAUCAUGUAGGAAUGAAAGGAUAAGAUUGCUAGAGGAGAGCUUUGCAUCCUAUUAGCUAGUUGGUGAGGUAACGGCCCACCAAGGCAAUGAUGGGUAGCCGGCCUGAGAGGGUGAACGGCCACAAGGGGACUGAGACACGGCCCUU